CCGAACAAAGGCGGUUAUAUCUUGAUGCAGAACUUCAAGACGGUCUUGAUGAGAUACUCAACCGAUGCAAUGAAGGAUUCGAGGGUGGUUGAUUUUGCCAAUAUUGUGAGUUCUCUUCAGUAUCGAAAACUAGACCUUGAAGAAUUUGCUGCUGCUGCAUUAAGUGUGUACCAAUUAGAAAGCAUGGAUACUUGGGAACAACAUGCUCGCGA